CUGUGUGUCUCCAUAGGGCGCUAUGGGGCACUGUGUGUCUCUAUAAGGCGCUAUGGGUCACUGCGUGUCUCUAUAGGGCACUGUGUGGCGCUAUGGGGCACUGUGUGUCUCUAUAAGGCGCUAUGGGUCACUGCGUGUCUCUAUAGGGCACUGUGUGUCUCUAUAGGGCGCUAUGGGGCACUGUGUGGCGCUAUGGAGCACUGUGUGUCUCUAUGGGGCGCUAUGGGGCGCUGUGUGGCACUAUGGGGCACUGUGUGUCUCUAUGGGGCGCUAUGGGGCACUGUGUGUCUCUAUGGGGCGCUAUGGGGCACUGUGUGUCUCUAUAGGGUGCUAUGGGGCUCUGUGUGUCUCUAUAGGCCGCUAUGGGGCACUGUGUGUCUCUAUGGGGCGCUAUGGGGCACUGUGUGUCUCUACAGGGCGCUAUGGGGCACUGUGUGUC